UACGUAGGGCGCAAGCGUUGUCCGGAAUUAUUGGGCGUAAAGAGCUCGUAGGCGGUUCGGCAAGUCGGAUGUGAAAUCUCCACGCUCAACGUGGAGGGGCCAUUCGAAACUGCCGUGACUCGAGUCCGGUAGGGGAGUGUGGAAUUCCCGGUGUAGCGGUGAAAUGCGCAGAUAUCGGGAGGAACACCGGUGGCGAAGGCGGGUCUCUGGGCCGAUACUGACGCUGAGGAGCGAAAGCGUGGGGAGCGAACAGG
rnacentral:rRNA from 1 species